AGUGAACGCUGGCGGUAGGCCUAACACAUGCAAGUCGAACGGCAGCACAGUAAGAGCUUGCUCUUACGGGUGGCGAGUGGCGGACGGGUGAGGAAUACAUCGGAAUCUACUUUUUCGUGGGGGAUAACGUAGGGAAACUUACGCUAAUACCGCAUACGACCUACGGGUGAAAGCAGGGGAUCUUCGGACCUUGCGCGAUUGAAUGAGCCGAUGUCGGAUUAGCUAGUUGGCGGGGUAAAGGCCCACCAAGGCGACGAUCCGUAGCUGGUCUGAGAGGAUGAUCAGCCACACUGGAACUGAGACACGGUCCAGACUCCUACGGGAGGCAGCAGUGGGGAAUAUUGGACAAUGGGCGCAAGCCUGAUGCAGCCAUACCGCGUGUGUGAAGAAGGCCUUCGGGUUGUAAAGCCCUUUUGUUGGGAAAGAAAAGCAGCAGGUUAAUACCCCGCUGUUCUGACGGUACCCAAAGAAUAAGCACCGGCUAACUUCGUG
rnacentral:rRNA from 1 species